rnacentral:misc_RNA from 1 species
GAUGAAGAACGCAGUGAAAUGCAAUAAGUAAUGUGAAUUGCAGAAUUCAGUGAAUCAUCGAAUCUUUGAACGCACCUUGCGCUCCUUGGUAUUCCGAGGAGCAUGCCUGUUUGAGUGUCAUUAAAUUCUCAACCUUAUUAGCUUUUGCUGAUAAUGGCUUGGACUUGGGGGUCUUUUUGCUGGCUUUCAUUAGUCUGCUCCCCUUAAAUGUAUUAGCCGGUGCCCCGCAGUGGAACCGUCUAUUGGUGUGAUAAUUAUCUACGCCGUGGACGUCUGCUAUAAUGGGUUUGCGCUGCUUCUAACCGUCUCUCGGGACAACACAAAUGACAAUUUGACCUCAAAUCAGGUAGGACUACCCGCUGAACUUAAGCAUAUCAAUAAGCGGAGGA